GGAAUUGAGGUGGAUUUUGUGACAUUUUCCGGGCUACAUUACGGAGACAGAACUCCAAGCAUAGAAAAAAUUGUUGCUUUUCACUGGCUAACGACCACUUUUGGGUGCGCACAGCCUCGGAGAAAAUAGUGGUCAGACAUCCUGUGGCCACGAAGCCCAAAACAGUAUGAAGUCUCCAGAGAAGACCCUGCAUUCAAAUAGCCUUUAAACACCGUUGAAAUGGCACAUGCCAUACCACAUACCCGGUGACACAUACCAAGUCACCCAUGUUUGCGUGAAAGAAUUACGCUGAAGAGCGGCAUAUAACCAGCGGUACAUACCCACUGAUCCUUAUUUAAGUGUUGAAGUGCUCGCGUGAAAGAUGAUUCUUGAGUACCACCACAAGCCUUGUGACACAGAGCCAUUGAUUGAAGUUGGCGUGAAAAAGGUUUGCAGAGACGAGGAUCUCAGUCUGCUUUAUUGCUGCUGCUGGUCGUAAGUUCAGGCGGAAUGAAGUAAUUCAAGGUGAAAUUGUUGCAUGGAACGCAAAACAAGUGGUGAAGGAUGAUGCAGAGAGAAGGUUUUCAACAAAAGCCGGCUUGAAAGGGCCAAGAACAGGACAGUGUCGCAACCGUUUGCAGAGAUUGUGGACGUCUUUUCGGUGGGAUCUAGAACGAGAUGGGGUCCGUAGUACAGUGGCCGAAAAGAAUUUCAAGUGCAAUUCAACUGCAGAAACAGAUAGGCCGCGUCUAGAAUAUCGCGAAAUAUAAAAGGCGUUCUAUGUAGAGUUGGGUCGAUACUUCACGAGGUUGAGUAGUCGGCGUACUGCUGAUGGUUAGAUGUUGUCGUGGGUGUAGGGUAGAGGAAUUCAGCGUGUAGACGUAAAGACGUGCCGUGAACGAGAUAGUCAGGGGAGCAGAAGAUAUCUUCUUUGAUAGCUAUGUGAAGCCUUAGAAGGACUACAGGUAGAGUAGUGACCCACUGAUCAGGAACGGCCUGUACCAUAAGGACUGCCUUCAGUAGGCGGUGAAACCGCUUUACCAAGCCGUUCUUUUGCGGAUGGUAGGCAGUGGUCUUGACGUGGCAGAUUCCGAGACAACUUGUGAGCUGGAGAAAGAGCUCUGACUGAAACUGACGGCCUCUUUUGUGAUUCUUUCGGAGGCAAUGCCAAAACGGGCAAUUCACGUAGAAAUAAGGGUCGAAGCGAUGGUAUGGACACUUAUGUCCUGUAAUGGCGUCACCUGACGCCACGGGCUGAAUCUGAGACGGUCAGGGUAUAGCGGAACGUUUUAGAUGGUGGCAAGGGCCCUACUAAAACGGUAUAAAUGCAGGCAAAACUCGCAUCGGGAACAGCGAACUUUGCCAACGGGGUGGAAGUGUGCCGUGAUAUUUUGCACUGUUGGCAUGCCAGACAGGAGUGCGCCCAUUUAUGAACGUCGAUGUUCAUUCCUGGUCAAGCGAAACGAUCAGAAACAAGGCGAUGUGAUGCACGAAUGCCGGGAUGUGAAAUCGAGGGGAAAUUGGUUGAAACCACGUCGUCGUAGUGGUAGAGGCUGGUAAGGAAGUUGACGGCUGGAACCGACAUUUACGUGGCAGACAAUGUGUAUGCCGUGGUCUGAAAAUUACACUUCUUCAGAUAGAGAGGCAAGGAAUUCGACCACAGCUAAGGUUGUAGGUCUUCAUCUCGGUCUUGUAAAUCCACAAGCUGUUUGAGCGUCAAGUUAACAUUACCCAACUUCAAGAUGUGACUGGGGGCGUCAGCAGGAAUAUUGUCUGCACCUAUUUCGUGCUGAAUCUUUGCUGUGAACUUAGUACAGUAAUGCCAGAAGACGAAGUUUACGUGGGCUGUAAGUAAUGUGGCCGGAUGUGAACGCUGUAAUUAGAGGCUUGUGUUCAGUGAAAUUAAGGAAGGGUCAUCCCUAGAGAAAAUAGGAAAAUUGUAUCACCUUGAGGUGAGUGGCAAGGAGUU